rnacentral:rRNA from 1 species
CCUACGGGCGGCAGCAGUGGGGAAUAUUGGACAAUGGGCGAAAGCCUGAUCCAGCCAUGCCGCGUGUGUGAAGAAGGCCUUCGGGUUGUAAAGCACUUUCAGUGGGGAAGAAAGCCUUGGGGCUAAUACCCUCGAGGAAGGACAUCACCCACAGAAGAAGCACCGGCUAACUCCGUGCCAGCAGCCGCGGUAAUACGGAGGGUGCGAGCGUUAAUCGGAAUUACUGGGCGUAAAGCGCGCGUAGGCGGUCUGAUAAGCCGGUUGUGAAAGCCCCGGGCUCAACCUGGGAACGGCAUCCGGAACUGUCAGGCUAGGGUGCAGGGGAGGAAGGUAGAAUUCCCGGGGUAGCGGUGAAAUGCGUAGAGAUCGGGAGGAAUACCAGUGGCGAAGGCGGCCUUCUGGACUGACACUGACGCUGAGGUGCGAAAGCGUGGGUAGCAAACAGGAUUAGAUACCCCUGUAGUC